UGAUGACCCAGGGCCCAUGGGCAGUUUUGGGCUUGUUGGUGUGUAACAUGAUUAUCUGUUGUGCUUGUAUCUCUGGGUUCCCUUUCUCCUGUGAGUGUGCAUGUGUGUGGAGUCCUGGUUUUCCUGGGCCACCAGGCUUGGUGGGUGUGUCCCGUUGGGAGGCUGGCCACACCCUUGGAGGAGGAACACACACACAGCGCAGCCGUGACAACUUUGGAUGGGUCGCGGGGGGUGCUGGAGCCUAUCCCAGCUGCCAUAGGGCGAGAGGCAGGAUACACCCUGGACAGGUUACCUAUGAGGCUAUCUUUAUGAACUGCUCAUCAGAACAAAAGGAGGUCAACAUCCAAAGAAGAUUCUAAGGAGUUUGGAAAGAAAGCAACUUGCCUUCUUUUUGAAGACAUUUCACCUCUCAUCUAAGAUGAUUCUUCAGUACUUAAAGCAAAUUGGGGGAGAGUCCCAGCUAUUUCAACCCUAGCGAGGGUUGUCCUUUAAGAGGGUUGUUGAUUCACUGUUAGUCAUGUGCCUCAUCACACGAGCCAAGGUGUGAAAAGAGUCAUGGGACAUUACCACCAGGGGUUUUGGGUGA
ensembl:lncRNA